GCAGUGGUGGUUCAGUGGUAGAAUUCUAGCCUUUCAUGCAGGAGUCCUGGGUUCAACUCCCAGCCAACGCA
rnacentral:tRNA from 1 species